rnacentral:lncRNA from 1 species
AGCCCUCUAGAGUCUUUUUUUUUAAUUUAAUUUUUUAUAUGUAUGCGUGCUUACAUACAUCUGCACCACAUGAAUGCCUGGCAGUCAUAUGGUGCAGAUACAUGUAAGCCCCCCAUAUAUAUAUACAUACACAUAUAUACACAUAUACAUACAUAUGUGUAUAUAUACAUAUAUGCAUAUGUGUGUGUACACACACACAGAUAUAUAGUCUGUAAUUGAAGUUACAGAUGGUUGUGAGCGCACAUGUAGAUUCUGAGGACUGAACCAGGAUUCUCUUGUAAGAAUAAGUGUUCUUAACUAUAGAGUCAUUUUGGCAGCCUCACAGAGUUGCUAUAUAUCUGAAAAGCUAAGGGAGGCCUAGACUGCACUGUUUGGAACCAUGUGUCAAAGAGCAAGGCCCUCAAGGCCCUCUGUGAGAAUUUGAGUUUCUUGGUUGUAGAAUAUAAGAGCCUCUAAUUAGGUAAGGGCAGCCUGUCUGUGGUCCUGUUUCACUGUGUCUCCCCAUCCCACAGCGGCAGGUCAAGGGGCAGGAGGUAUAUUUUGAUUCAAGAAAAGGUGAAAAAGCCCUUUGUUGUUCUCACCCGCGGUGCCCCCUGGAUAUGGUCUUGGUUAACUCCUCCUCCCCUCUUAACUAGAAUGGCCCAAGGUCUCUGCAGUGAUGUCCCUGGCCAGUGAUACAUGGUCCAGGCUAGGCAUCUUAGUCUCUAUUCCCACCACAGACAACUUUGAAGUCCCUGCACUCUAGACAUCUAGACUCAUUAGGCCUGGGCUUCCUCUCUAACAGGAGCCAUAGGAUUUUCAGUUAAGUUGUAUUUUCUCCAGUCCAUGUGGUUUUCUCUUUACUAGCCUCUUAAAGUGCUCUGGGACUCAAACAGCCUGGCCUUGGUGCUGAGUAGUUAUCCUGCUCCUAAUAAAAACAGUCACUGUGUGUGUGUGUUUGUAUGUGUGUGUGUGUGUGUGUGUGUGUGUGUGUGUGUGUGUGUGUGUGUGUAUUACGGCCAGAUGUCCCAAAGCAAGUGUCUAUGUCUUUGUUAUAUUCAGGUAGAAAAUGAAAUUCAGAAAAACUUAUCAAGGCUGGGAAUGUAGCUCACUUGGUAGAGCGCUUGCCUAAGAUGCAGGAAACCUUGAGUUUGAUCACUGGUACCAAAUAAAGUAGGCACGGGAGCACAUCGGUGUAACUCUAGCCCUUGGGAGGUAGGGGCAGGAGGGUCAAAAGUCAAGGUCAUCCUCAGCUACACAGAGAAUUUGGGGACAGUCUGAACUACGUGUGUGUGUGUGUGUGUGUGUGUGUGUGUGUGAGAGAGAGAGAGAGAGAGAGAGAGAGAGAGAGAGAGAUUGAGAGAAGCAGAUAGCAGAUGAGGAAUAGAUCAUUAAUGGAGUAACAUCCCUAUGUCUGGCCUUGACACACAGCCGCACUGCAGGGGGAACUACAAAAUGAAGCACUGGUUUGGGGUUUUAGGCACUGAAGCUAUCUACCAGUAUGAAGAUGUCUACCAGGAACACAGAGUUCAAAACUCUGUCAGGCUUUGGCCAAAAUGAACCAUGGCUCAAGGUGCACGAGUGUUUAGAGGGCUUCAGAAGCAAUGAUUUUCAGGUUAGAUUUAAACCAGAUAAAGAGCUGGGAAGCAGCAGGGAUUGGGUAGAGGUCAGCAGUGGAUGAGGACUGAAGUCUGGGCCCCAGCUGGGGGCAGAUCGGCUAACAUGUCUGUCACUUGACUUGGUAACUGAUACUCACAGCUUUGUUUGGAAGGCUCAGCGCUAGGUAAAUGGCCAAACGCCAGGGGAGCCUGGGUGGUCCAAAGCCCUCUGGUGGAAGCAGCCUGCUUAAUCAAUCCUGCAAAUCUCUGCGCUUUCCUUUUUCCAUGAGCACAGCAUUGCACAAGUUCCCUGGCACCAGGCUCCAGCCUCGAGCAUUACACAGAUCAUACAGUCCAGUGUCUGCCUAGCUUGAGACACACACCUUGCACAUCUCACCACACUGCCUAUUCCGUGUCAACUGUUUUAGGGCUGGGAUUCCAUGAGUGACAGAGUUUCUGUAGAAGCCUAGAGAAAUUUAAUCUCUUAGCUUCUGAAUCAAAAGGCCUUUUGAACUUAUAUGUUUUUAGAGCUCAAAACAUCUUAACUGCUGUUUGGCCUUACCAAAUACUUUUCAUAAAAUCAGGCAUGGUGGCACAAGUUUUAAUUCCAGUACCCUGGACAUAGAGACAAUAGGAUCCGAAAUUCAAAGUCACCUCAGCUAAAUAGUUCAAAGCCAUCCUGGGCUUCAUGAGACCCUGUUUCAAAACAACAACAGCAGCAAAGUAUUUUGCAAAUAGAUACUGACUUUUGAUCAUAACAAACCCAUGAAAGCAUUGGGGCUCACUUAACACCAAGGUUCAAAAGUAGUGAAUCAGCCAAGAUGUAGGAGGCUGAAACAGGACUUUGAUUUUUUUUGUAACAGACCUGGAGAUUCUUAAAAAAAAAAUAAGAGUGUGUAGGGUGGAGUGUAUGCUUAUGCACAAAGCCUUGGGUCCACACACACACACACACACACACACACACACACACACUAUCAUGAUUGGCCUCUUUCCCAUUUCUGAGAGGUGAGUGAGGUGAGAUCCCUAGCUAUCGUCCUGGCAGUGAGACCCAUUCCAGAGUGUGUGUUCCUCCUGGAAGUAGAAAGAGAGGAUCCGGGACAAAUCCAGACAAGUCCAGGGGUAUGUAGGUGGAAAUUCUCAGGAAGCCUGAAGCUGGUAGGGCUGAGGUGAUGUGACUAAAAGAUUCUGCCAGGAAGACCAAGUGAUGUUACCACAUCCAUACGGGUGCUCUCAGUGGUUGGUCCAAGCUCUUGCUCCUGGCUAAACUGUCUGUCCUGUUCCUGACACCAAUGUGGGUUUAAGGUAGAUGCCCAGAAGCCAGACCCCCACUUGUAUUUGUGAUUGGGGGGGGGGGGGUCUGAGGUCUGUUGAAGUUCCACUGCCCCCCUCCCCACGGGGCUCAGGCCCUAGGCCAGGGCUCAACAGACACAAGCAGUAAGAUGGGGUUGCCCUUCUAUUGGUCCAAGUCCUGAGCGUAGCCUGGUUGAGUCAUGGAGGUGAGCAGGCCCACGAGGCUCAGCAGUGUGGAAAAGAGCAGCAGGAAGGAGGCUGCGAAGAGCAGAGCAGGCAGGGCACUGAGCACAAGCAGCAGGAUUGCUGGCAGCAGGUGGCUCCACAUCACAGCCACCACGGGCCAUAGCGAGCUCAGCAGGUAGGAGCCCGUGGUGAAGAGUGCGUGACAUAGCAUCAGUGCCAGCAGCAGGUAGAGUGUCCCCUCCAGACCCCACAGCAUCCGCUGUAGUGGUUGCCGCCAGCCUGAUGUAUUCCACCACUGGGUCCAGCUCCGAGGUAUGUGGCAUACCCACCAGCGCACCCAGUCCUGACGGAUGAUCCAGGCUGACCAGGGCACUGCCCGCUGGGGCCCCUCGCCAGCCCCGAUGAUAUCCGACUCCACUCGUGGCUGCUGCAUCACGGCUGGUGCACCUGUGGACAGGGCCAGGCCAGCUGCAGGGGGCAGCCCUUAAGAUGCCCAGGACCUCUGGAUAGGUGGGCAUGCAGGGGUCAGGGGGAUACCAGCAUGGGCAGGAUUGGACUUUGAACUGGGGCCUAGGACUUACCUUUGGGCAGAGCCACCUAAGUCAUGGUGCUUCCUGUUGUGUCUAGGCUGGCCUGGCAGCCAGAUCCCAGUCUCUCCCUCGCCUGCCCCACCAUCCCCAGAGGAGUGCAUUAUGACCCGGACUGGGGUGGGGCUCAGCCAAGAGAGGAGCUACUGCAUAGUGUGAGAGUCACUUAUGUCCUUUACUUAAUGGUCCCUCCAGGCUAGCAGGAGAGCCCAGCAAGCCUACCAUUCUUCUUCUUGUAGGAAGCCUUCCCCACACCUGUCCCUCCUUGAUGGCUGCUUCCAACCCCAUGGCUGGAGUUGGUUGCUGUAACUACCCUUUUCUCUGCCUUCUCUUAAUGCCCUAAGCUUCAGGCAAAGGUAAUAUGCCUUUGACAGUUCUCAAAUGUCCACAUUGUGGAACUAGAAGGCCCUGAGGUUCAAGCUGAAUAUGAUGGAGUAUUCUGUCCUUAUCACACAACCUUACCCUCAUGUAGCUCAGGAUGGAAGAGAAGAAAUCUGAGAGAGCAGAUUGGAUGUUGUAUUUUCAGAAGGCAUUCAGCUUUAGGAGGGCCCUCAGGCCCAAGGAUGGAUACAGAAAGCUAGGCCCAGCAUGGCUAAGGGUAUACCAGAGCCUCCCAAGAACAGGCGCAGGCCCAGGAACAGCAGGAGCAGCGCAUCCUGCAGGCUGAGCAGUCCCGAGGCCAUCUUUGUUGGAGAGAGGGGAGCUGCUUGCUGUCCUGGGCCUUCACCAGCCCCCUGGCUCUGACCCAUUGGGAGAAGUCUGUGUCGUGGCAGGUUGGCACCUGUGGGCCUGUGGAGAGAGAAGAUGGCAGCUCGAGGCAAUUGCUCAUUUGUGUUUGUGACACCUAUCUGACAGGUGGCACUUACCCAUAGAGCAGGUCAAAAACAAGGAAGCUGGUCAGCAACAGGAGCAGCAGGGCUAGGCCAGCCGUUGAGAAGAUGGUUCGAAUUGUCACUCCUAGUGCCCCCAGCCCUAGGAUACUGUCCAGGAGCUGGGCCUGGCUGAAGUCCCAGGGGGGGCACAUGACUCGCUGACCCUACUCAGUCCCUCUCCAGGAUCCAGACCCCUGGGAAGGAGUGGGAUGGCUUUAGAAGGGCAAGGGUGAGCUGAGCUGGGUCCUAGAGGUUAUUAGGAAGACCUAGUGCUAAGAGAUUAGGGAUCAGGGAAGAGAGGAGGGCCUUGGCAGACACUCAAGGGUUAGCUCUGUGAGUAAGGAACUAAGCUUUUUGGGGAUCUCCCUCCCCCCACUCCCACCCCACAUCUUCACCAACUCUCCUCACCUCCUCCCACUUGGGUGACCAUUCUAGAUUUGGACACUCUGGGGCAUUGUGACCUAUUAUCAGGGAGGACCUUGAAUUAAGGACAGGACAACAGUUUGCUUUGCCUCAUAAGCACUGGUGGCCUAGGUGGGGCUCAGUAACAAAUCAGUGUUUUCUGAGAACUAAGACUCAACUCACCCACUCACCUUGCCAGUAAUUCUCUGCACCAGGGACUUCCCACCAGUCUUGGGAUGUCAGGAAAGCAUGCUAACACAACAGCUGCUUGGACUUCUGCAUCUUCCAGAACAUUCUCCAGACUCUGUGUUUAGGAUGUCAUUCAGUCAUUCAAUUUUUCUAUGUCCGGUUCUCUUCCCUGAAAGUGGGGUGAGGGCUGUGGGGCUUUGUUUGUUUGGUUGUUUGGUUGGUUGGUUUGGUUUUUUUCGAGACAGGGUUUCUCUGUGUAGCCCUGGCUGUCCUGGAACUCACUUUGUAGACCAGGCUGGCCUCAAACUCAGAAAUCUGCCUGCCUCUGCCUCCUGCCUCCCGAGUGCUGGGAUUGAAGGCGUGUGCCACCAAGCCCAGCUGGCUGUGGGGCUUGAUGGUAGUGGGAAAACAUGUUUGCAACUCUGGGAUGCUGAAUAGACUUUUCUAGAGUGCAACCUAGGCCAUGGGGCAGGGGUGGGGGUGGGGACAAGAGGAUGCUAUUUGGAUGUUUUACGCACUACAGUUUUAGGAGGUAUUAUGGUUUCAGCAAUGGGACAGAGAGCUGGACAUGGUGGCAUAUAUUUUAAUUUCAGUGCUCAGAAGGCUGAGGCAGAAAUACUGUGAGUUUAAGGCCAAACUGGACUAUAUAGCUGGAUGUUGCCUGGAAAAUUAAAG